rnacentral:rRNA from 1 species
GACGAACGCUGGCGGCGUGCUUAACACAUGCACGUCGAACGAUGAAGCUAGAGCUUGCUCUGGUGGAUUAGUGGCGAACGGGUGAGUAACACGUGAGUAACCUGCCCCGAACUCUGGGAUAACUGCUGGAAACGGUAGCUAAUACCGGAUAUGACCAAUGAAGGCAUCUUCUGCUGGUGGAAAGAAUUUCGGUUCGGGAUGGACUCGCGGCCUAUCAGCUUGUUGGUGAGGUAACGGCUCACCAAGGCGACGACGGGUAGCCGGCCUGAGAGGGUGAUCGGCCACACUGGGACUGAGACACGGCCCAGACUCCUACGGGAGGCAGCAGUGGGGAAUAUUGCACAAUGGGCGCAAGCCUGAUGCAGCAACGCCGCGUGAGGGACGACGGCCUUCGGGUUGUAAACCUCUUUUAGUAGGGAAGAAGCGAAAGUGACGGUACCUGCAGAAAAAGCACCGGCUAACUACGUGCCAGCCGCCGCGGUAA